rnacentral:rRNA from 1 species
GACGAACGCUGGCGGCGUGCUUAACACAUGCAAGUCGAACGGAAAGGCCCUGCUCUUGUGGGGUGCUCGAGUGGCGAACGGGUGAGUAACACGUGAGUAACCUGCCCUUGACUUUGGGAUAACUUCAGGAAACUGGGGCUAAUACCGGAUAGGAGCUCCUGCUGCAUGGUGGGGGUUGGAAAGUUUCGGUGGUUGGGGAUGGACUCGCGGCUUAUCAGUUGGUUGGGGGGGUAGUGGCUUACCAAGGCUUUGACGGGUAGCCGGCCUGAGAGGGUGACCGGCCACAUUGCGACUGAGAUACGCACCAGAAUCCUACGGGAGGCAGCAGUGGGGAAUAUUGCACAACGGGCGGAAGCCUGAUGCAGCAACGCCGCGUGCGGGAUGACGGCCUUCGGGUUGUAAACCGCUUUCGCCGGUGACGAAGCGUGAGUGACGGUAACGGGUAAAGAAGCACCGGCUAACUACGUG